UAACACGUAAAGAACCUGCCUCAUAGACUGGGACAACUAUUGGAAACGAUAGCUAAUACCGGAUAACAGCAUUAACUGCAUGGUUGAUGUUUGAAAGUUGGUUUUGCUAACACUAUGAGAUGGCUUUGCGGUGCAUUAGCUAGUUGGUGGGGUAAAGGCCUACCAAGGCGACGAUGCAUAGCCGACCUGAGAGGGUGAUCGGCCACACUGGGACUGAGACACGGCCCAG
rnacentral:rRNA from 1 species